rnacentral:rRNA from 1 species
UACGGAGGGUGCAAACGUUGUUCGGAAUUAUUGGGCGUAAAGCGCGCGUAGGCGGCUUGGUAGGUCGGAUGUGAAACCCCGGGGCUCAACCCCGGGCCUGCGUUCGAAACCGCUGAGCUUGAGUCUGGCAGGGAAAGGUGGAAUUCCUGGUGUAGGGGUGAAAUCCGUAGAGAUCAGGAGGAACACCGGUGGCGAAGGCGACCUUUUGGGCCAAGACUGACGCUGAGGUGCGAAAGCGUGGGGAGCAAACAGG